GCAUCAAUUCCAAUCGCAAUCUCACCUCUUGAGUGAUUUGUCAGGCUGUCCGAAAGUUAUUUUGUUGUUGUGCCACGUAGCUCCGAUUGGUUUGAAAACCAUGACUCGUGGAAAUCAACGUGAGAAAGCAAGAGAAAAAAAUCAGAAAAAGCAGCAGCAGCAGGAUAAAGCCAAGGGUGCUGCAGCUAAGGGUGCCAAUGCUGGGAUGUCUUUGGAAGAGAGAAGACACAGAGAUGCUGAGAUUAUGAGACAAAAACAAGAGAAGAAAGCAGCCCAGGCCCAGGGAGCAAGUGGAGGUGCUAAAGGAGGGAAAUAAACACAAGUGCAAAUGGAAACUGUAUUCUGAAAACAUGAACUGGACAUAUCUUGAUCUGAGAUUCUGGACUUAACCCAUUACAGAUAUUUAGAUAGGAAAUGUUUAUCUACAGGCAUAUGUCCCUCUUGCUGUAACAGCUGAUGUCAAGCAUAGGCUCAUGCUCUUUUAAAAUACAUCUACAAGUGAUGCAUUGGCUGGUAUCAAGACAAAGGCGCAUUUUGUACAACUGAUGAGUAUGAAUGAUAUUAAUUUGAUAUAUCCUAUUUGUCUCUUCUCACAUAAACUGAUAAAGUACUUAGAAUAUGUUAUUAAAUAUGACUGAUAAGGCCUGCUCAUGAUUCUUGCUAAAUGUUAUUAGAGCAGUUUUGGGAUUUUGAUAGGUUUUGGAUGUCCAUGCAUUGCUUCAAUACACACAGCGAUACACAUUUGUAUGUCAUUUAUUUGAAGAAAACAAAACCAUUUUGCAUCUUUGCUAACAUUAUAGAACAAUGACUUCACUUUAUUAUUUUUACUGAACAAUUCCAUUUUCAUUUUAGUCAUUAGUAAGUUAUAUGCCAUCAGUACUGGAAAAUUUAUGAAGAAUGUUUCUCUGUGGCAUUGUAUUGAUCAUAUUGUAAACUUGCUUCUCAUUUUCUCCAUUCUUUUAUGAAGAAAAAAAGUUCAUUACAUAUAAAUUAUGCAAAAUAUAUCAUAUAUCAUAACCAGGCAAUUUUUCUGGUUCUAGUUUUAGUCCUUGAUUUCAUUGCCAAACAAAAGUUACUCAGUUUUUGUAAGAUGGAAAUGUUUGCAACAGAUCCAUCACUUAUUGUACUUUUUCAAGGUCAUGGGCAUUAAAUAAAUUGUGAAUUUUUAAAA